AUUGAACGCUGGCGGCAUGCCUUACACAUGCAAGUCGAACGGCAGCACGGGUGCUUGCACCUGGUGGCGAGUGGCGAACGGGUGAGUAAUACAUCGGAACAUGUCCUGUAGUGGGGGAUAGCCCGGCGAAAGCCGGAUUAAUACCGCAUACGAUCUACGGAUGAAAGCGGGGGACCUUCGGGCCUCGCGCUAUAGGGUUGGCCGAUGGCUGAUUAGCUAGUUGGUGGGGUAAAGGCCUACCAAGGCGACGAUCAGUAGCUGGUCUGAGAGGACGACCAGCCACACUGGGACUGAGACACGGCCCAGACUCCUACGGGAGGCAGCAGUGGGGAAUUUUGGACAAUGGGCGAAAGCCUGAUCCAGCAAUGCCGCGUGUGUGAAGAAGGCCUUCGAGUUGUAAAGCACUUUUGUCCGGAAAGAAAUCCUUGGCCCUAAUACGGUCGGGGGAUGACGGUACCGGAAGAAUAAGCACCGGCUAACUACGUG
rnacentral:rRNA from 1 species